rnacentral:rRNA from 1 species
AGAAUCAACGCUGGCGGCGUGCCUAACACAUGCAAGUCGCACGAGAAAGGGGAGCAAUCCCUGAGUAAAGUGGCGCACGGGUGAGUAACACGUGACUAACCUACCCUUGAGUGGGGGAUAACCUAGAGAAAUCUGGGCUAAUACCGCAUAAUACCUUCGGGUCAAAGGAGCAAUUCGCUUAAGGAGGGGGUCGCGGCCGAUUAGUUAGUUGGCGGGGUAAUGGCCCACCAAGACUGUGAUCGGUA